rnacentral:rRNA from 1 species
ACCUUUGACAUGUACGGAAGCCUUUAGAGAUAGAGCGUGCUCGAAAGAGAGCCGUAACACAGGUGCUGCAUGGCUGUCGUCAGCUCGUGUCGUGAGAUGUUGGGUUAAGUCCCGCAACGAGCGCAACCCUUGUCAUUAGUUGCUACAUUCAGUUGGGCACUCUAAUGAGACUGCCGGUGACAAACCGGAGGAAGGUGGGGAUGACGUCAAGUCCUCAUGGCCCUUAUGGGUAGGGCUUCACACGUCAUACAAUGGUCGGUACAGAGGGUUGCCAACCCGCGAGGGGGAGCUAAUCCCACAAAGCCGAUCGUAGUCCGGAUCGCAGUCUGCAACUCGACUGCGUGAAGUCGGAAUCGCUAGUAAUCGUGGAUCAGCAUGUCACGGUGAAUACGUUCCCGGGUCUU